CCCCCAGUGGCUCAGAUGGUAAAGAAUCUGCCUGCAAUGCAGAAGACUCCGGUUCGAUCCCUGGCUUGGGAG
rnacentral:tRNA from 1 species